AAGAGUGAUAGGUAAUAAUGAAUUAUGUUAUGAGUGUAAAUUAUUCUCAUUUUUGGCAUAUCUUAGUGUAUUUCUUGCUCUCUGUUUCUAACCAAAGAUAAGUGAGCUUAUUGAUCAUAAACAUGUCAUCAUAUCAGAAUUUAUAAGAUAGGCUAUUCAUGUUUGAAGGAUUCAUUUGGUAACUUGCAACUCUAUCAUACCACUCGAUUUGUUGUCUUGUAUUUGAAAUUAAGUAACUAAUCAUUGUAAUUUUUUUAUUCAUAAUAUUUGUCAUUUCACAUUUUGAAUACAUUGAAAAUUUAGUACCUAG
rnacentral:lncRNA from 1 species